GAUGUGAUGAUCCUCAAACACGUGUUAGACUUCUGAUGCAACUGAAGACAAACUGGGUCUGAUU